UACAGAGGUCCCAAGCGUUGUUCGGAUUCACUGGGCGUAAAGGGUGCGUAGGCGGUCUGGUAAGUCUGAUGUGAAAUCUCACAGCUUAACUGUGAAACUGCAUUGGAUACUAUCCGGCUCGAGGAAUGGAGGGGAGACUGGAAUACUUGGUGUAGCAGUGAAAUGCGUAGAUAUCAAGUGGAACACCAGUGGCGAAGGCGAGUCUCUGGACAUUUCCUGACGCUGAGGCACGAAAGCCAGGGGAGCAAACAGG
rnacentral:rRNA from 1 species